UCCUGGUUAGCUCAAUUGGUAGAGCGACCUCCUCGGAAAGGUGUUGGUCCCGGGUUCGAUCCCUGGACCAGGAU
rnacentral:tRNA from 1 species